rnacentral:rRNA from 1 species
GCAAACCCAGCCAUAUCACCCUGCAGCCCAAAACCGGUUACUCACUGAAGCUAAGCAGGGCUGAGCUUGGUUAGUACCUGAAUGGGAGACCACAUGGGAAAACUAGGUUGCUGUUGGAA